rfam:Clostridium celatum DSM 1785 genomic scaffold Scfld228, whole genome shotgun sequence.
UAUAAUGAUAAAAAUAACCUUCGUAUAAGCUUGGAAAUAUGGUCCAAGCGUCUCUACAAUAUCACCGUAAAUGAUAUAACUAUGAAGUAAAAAAAUCCACGA